rnacentral:rRNA from 1 species
UACGUAUGGAGCAAGCGUUAUCCGGAUUUACUGGGUGUAAAGGGAGUGUAGGUGGUAUCACAAGUCAGAAGUGAAAGCCCGGGGCUCAACCCCGGGACUGCUUUUGAAACUGUGGAACUGGAGUGCAGGAGAGGUAAGUGGAAUUCCUAGUGUAGCGGUGAAAUGCGUAGAUAUUAGGAGGAACACCAGUGGCGAAGGCGGCUUACUGGACUGUAACUGACACUGAGGCUCGAAAGCGUGGGGAGCAAACAGG